rfam:Schistosoma curassoni strain Dakar, Senegal genome assembly, scaffold: SCTD_scaffold0000810
AUCCAGCUUACGAGUUCUAAAUAGGACGAAACGAGCAUCCUGGAU